rnacentral:rRNA from 1 species
UACAGAGGGGGCAAGCGUUGUCCGGACUUACUGGGUGUAAAGCGCAUGCAGGUGGCCUGGCAAGUGUGCUGUGAAAGCCCACGGCUCAACCGUGGAGGGUCAUUGGAAACUGGGGGACUUGAGUACAGAAGAGAAGAGUGGAAUUCCACGUGUAGCGGUGAAAUGCGUAGAGAUGUGGAGGAACACCAGUGGCGAAGGCGGCUACCUGGACCGGUACUGACGCUGAGGCGCGAAAGCGUGGGGAGCAAACAGG